UGCCAGACUCCUACGGGCGGCAGCAGUGAGGCCUCUUGGUCAAUGGCCGCGAGUCUGACCCAGCCAAGUAGCGUGAAGGAUGACUGCCCUAUGGGUUGUAACCUUCUUUUAUAAAGGACUAAAACGAGGCCCGUGUGCCUUUUUGCAUGUACUUUAUGAAUAAGGAUCGGCUACCUCCGUGCCAGCAGCCGCGGUAAUCCGGAGGAUCCGAGCGUUAUCCGGAUUUAUUGGGGUUAAAGGGAGCGGAGAGGGGUUGUUAAGGCAGUUGUGAAAGGGGUCGGCUCAACCGGAAAAGGGCAAGGGAGACGGGAAGGCGGGAGGACAGGGGAGGUAGGCGGAAGUCGGGGUGGAGCGGUGAAAUGCGGAGAG
rnacentral:rRNA from 1 species